AGAGGUCAGCCUGCCCAGUGACAUAGUUUAACGGCCGCGGUACCCUAACCGUGCGAAGGUAGCAUAAUCACUUGUUCUUUAAAUAAGGACUCGUAUCAACGGCAUCACGAGGGCUGUACUGUCUCCUUUCUCCAAUCAGUGAAACUGAUCUCCCCGUGAAGAAGCGGGGAUUGACCUAUAAGACGAGAAGACCCCAUGGAGCUUUAAACCCAAUACACACCUCUACGCACCCAAAUCAAUAUAGCCUAAGAGACUUGCGUGUUGGUUUUAGGUUGGGGGGACCACGGAGUAUAAUCAAACCUCCAUGACAGACGGGCUAACACCCUUAUCCAUGAACCACAAUUCUAAGAGCCAAUAAAUUGUUGUCUAAUGACCCAAUUACUUGAUCAACGAACCAAGUUACCCUGGGGAUAACAGCGCAAUCUACUUCAAGAGCCCCUAUCGACAAGUAGGUUUACGACCUCGAUGUUGGAUCAGGGUAUCCUAGUGGUGCAGCCGCUACUAAAGGUUCGUUUGUUCAACGAUUAAAACCCUACGUGAUCUGAUUUCC
rnacentral:rRNA from 1 species